rnacentral:rRNA from 1 species
ACUCCUACGGGAGGCAGCAGUGGGGAAUAUUGCAGCAAUGGGCGCAAGCCUGAUGCAGCCAUGCCGCGUGUAUGAAGAAGGCCUUCGGGUUGUAAAGUACUUUCAGCAGUGAGGAAGGGUGGAGUUCGUUAAUAGGCGGCUCAUUUUGACGUUAGCUGCAGAAGAAGCACCGGCUAACUCCGUGCCAGCAGCCGCGGUAAUACGGAGGGUGCGAGCGUUAAUCGGAAUUACUGGGCGUAAAGCGCAUGCAGGUGGUUUGUUAAGUCAGAUGUGAAAGCCCGGGGCUCAAGCCU